GACGAACGCUGGCGGUGUACUUCACACAUGCAAGUCGAACGGAGUAGCAAUACUCAGUGGCGGACGGGUGAGUAAAACGUGGGAAUCUACCAUUAGGUGGGGAAUAACAGGCCGAAAGGACUGCUAAUGCCGCAUAUGUAGGCAUCUCGACAGAGAUGUUUAUGAAAGGAGUAAUCCGCCUUUUGAUGAGCCCGCGUCCGAUUAGCUAGUUGGUAGGGUAAAAGCCUACCAAGGCGACGAUCGGUAGGUGGUCUGAGAGGAUGAUCACCCACAAUGGGACUGAGACACGGCCCAUACUCCUACGGGAGGCAGCAGUGGGGAAUUUUACGCAAUGGGGGAAACCCUGACGUAGCGACACCGCGUGAGCGAAGAAGCCCUUUGGGGUGUAAAGCUCUGUCAACAGGAACGAAACAAAUGACGGUACCUGUGGAGGAAGCAUCGGCUAACUACGUGCCAGCAGCCGCGGUAAGACGUAGGAUGCAAGCGUUGUCCGGAUUUAUUGGGCGUAAAGAGUUCGUAGGCGGUUUGUUAAGUCUGAUGUUAAAGACCGGGGCUCAACCUCGGAAAUGCAUUGGAUACUGGCAGACUGGAGUGCAGUAGAGGCUAGUGGAAUUCCCAGU
rnacentral:rRNA from 1 species